rnacentral:rRNA from 1 species
UACAGAGGGUGCGAGCGUUAAUCGGAAUUACUGGGCGUAAAGCGUGCGUAGACGGCUAUCUAAGUCGGGUGUGAAAGCCCCGGGCUCAACCUGGGAAUUGCAUUCGAGACUGAAUAGCUAGGGUACGGUAGAGGGAAGCGGAAUUUCCGGUGUAGCGGUGAAAUGCGUAGAUAUCGGAAGGAACAUCAGUGGCGAAAGCGGC